AUGGGCAUCUCUCAGGACAACUGGCACAAAACUAGGGGCAAGAGAAAGCCCUAUCACAAGUAGCAGAAGGAUGAGCUUGGACAUCCCACUGCCAACACCAAGAUUGGCCCCUGCUGCAUCCACACAGUCGAAGUGCAGAGGUAACAAGAAAUACGAUGCCCUGAGGCUGGACGUGGGCAACUUUCCUGAGGCUCUGAGUGUUGUACUUGCAAAACAAGGGUCAUCAAUGUUGUCUACAACUCAUUCGAUAAUGAGUUGGUCCAUAUAGAGACCCUAGUGAAGAAUUGCACUGUGCUCAUUGAUAGCACGCCAUACCGACAGUGGUAUGAGUCCCACCGUGUACUGCCCCUGGGUCACAAGAAGGGGGCAAAGCUGACUCCUGAGGAGGAAGAGAUUUUAAACAAAAUACGAUCCAAAAAAAUUCAGAAGAAAUAUGAUGAAAGGAAAAAGAAUGCCAAAAUCAGCAGUCUUCUGGAGGAGCAGUUCCAGCAGGGCAAACUUCUUGCUUGCAUGGCAUCAAGACUGGGCCAGUGUGGUCGAGCAGAUGGCUAUGUGCUAGAAGGCAAGGAGUUGCAGUUCUGUCUGAGGAAAAUCAAGGCCCAGAAAGACAAAUAAAUCCUCUUCCCUAGCUCAUGUAAUAAAGCAGUUUAUUAUUCUGUU